AUUGAACGCUGGCGGCAGGCCUAACACAUGCAAGUCGAGCGGAGCGGCGGACGGGUGAGUAAUGCAUAGGAAUGUGCACGGUAGUGGGGGAUAACGACGGGAAAGGGGAGCUAAUACCGCAUACUAUUAGAUUCGCCUAUGUCGGAUUAGCUCGAUGGGGGGGUAAAGGCAUACCAAGGCGACGAUCCGUAGCUGGUCUGAGAGGAUGAUCAGCCACACUGGAACUGAGACACGGUCCAGACGCCGACGGGAGGCAGCAGUGGGGAAUAUUGGACAAUGGGCGAAAGCCUGAUCCAGCCAUGCCGCGUGUGUGAAGAAGGCCUUCGGGUUGUAAAGAACUUUCAGCAGGGAGGCGUUACCUGCAGAAUAAGCACCGGCUAACUCCGUGCCAGCAGCCGCGGUAAUAC
rnacentral:rRNA from 1 species